rnacentral:piRNA from 1 species
UGCCUCAUCAUGUGUGUCACGUAUUUACA